CCUACCUGGUUGAUCCUGCCAGUGUCUAUACGCUUGUAUCAAAGACUAAGCCAUGCAUGCCUAAGUACAGCUCGGCGGGGCAACUUGCCGGGCGAAACCGCAGACGGCUCAUUAAAUCAGUUGUGGUCUAAGUGGGCGAUAGUUUCCUUUUGGAUAACUGUGGAAAAUCCAGAGCUAAUACAUGCUGCAACAAGUCCUCAGCCAAACCCCUUGUGGGAACUAACUGGGGAUGCUUUUAUUAGACCGAGGCGCGCGCAUCGUCAGUUUAGCGCUUGUCUCUUCGGGAGGUAGGAGAGCGGCUGAUUGUGUGUCGCAUGUAAGGCGCUUAAAGGUGACUCUGGAUAACAAUGAUAAGCGUGCUUUAAGUAGCACGCUGCCUACUUACGAGUGACUGUCCUAUCAGCUACUAACGUAUGUUAUAUGCUUACGUUGGCUAUGACGGGUAACGGGGAAUCAGAGUUCGAUUCCGGAGAGGCAGCCUGAGAAACGGCUACCACGUCUAGGGACGGCAGCAGGCACGCAAAUUACCCAAUCCCAGCACCUGGGGGAGGUAGUGACGAUGUUUACUGAUGUGGGUCGGUCCUUCGGGAUACUCACAAUCGGAAUGGCUAUUUUCUAAAAACCCUAUCGAGAACCUACUGGAGGGCAAGCCUGGUGCCAGCAGCCGCGGUAAUUCCAGCUCCAGAGGCGUAUGCAAUGUUGCUGCGGUUAAAAGGCUCGCAGUUGAAUGUCGGUUAAUAUACGCGUAGAGGUGCCGGGACGUUGCGAGCUUCGAUUAGUCUUCGUACUGUUGUUGUGAGCCGUCUCUCCAAGUGCAUCUCUCGUGGGCUAACGAUUCGAUUAGCGUCUUAGUGUCAGUGUGUUUCUGCAUGUUGGCACAGCGGGCGUUAGUUGACACCUUGAGUAAAUCAGAGUGCUUCAAGCAGUCGUUGUAAACACUUCGGCUUUGCCUGGGUUUCGGCCCAGCUUUGUCUAUGGUGACUCGUUUCGGCGAGUUUAGACAUUGUCUUUGCUUUGCAUGGUACGUCGGAAGACGCCGUAUGAGUUGGUUGCGCUUACGCCUCGUCGACACACCUCGUGUGUGCGCGUGCACCAAUGAGUACGGAAUGAUAUGAUAGGGAUGGAUCGAAGGCAUUGGUAUUGCGAGGCGAGAGGUGAAAUUCUAUGACCCUCGCAAGACUACCUGAAGCGAAAGCGUCUGCCUAGGACGUCUUCAUUAAUCAUGAACGAAAGUUGAAGGAUCGAAGGCGAUCAGAUACCGCCCUAGUUGCAACUGUAAACGACAUCAACCAUCAAUCCGUCAAAGCGUUCCCUUGAGUCAUCGGCGUAUGCUUAACGGCUGCGUCGGUGGCAAAGUGUAAGCGCUUUAUGGGCAGCUCUUUUCGAACGGGAAACCAGAGUUUUUCGGUUCCGGGGGGAGUCUGGUUGCAAAGCUGAAACUUAAAGGAAUUGACGGAAAGGCACCACCAGGCGUGGAGCUUGCGGCUCAAUUUGACUCAACACGGGAAAUCUCACCAGACCCGAACGUCUAUGAUGAUUGACAGACUGAAAGCUCUUUCUUGAUAUAGUGGAUGGUGGUGCAUGGCCGUUCUUAGUUGGUGGAGUGAUCUGUCUGGUUAAUUCCGAUAACGAACGAGACUCUCUCCUGCUAACGGACUUUAUGUCUUUCUAGACGCUGUGAUUCGGUGCAAGGUGGCAUGGGCGUAAGCUCGCCAUCGGACGAUGUCCAGUGAUCCUUGGUGCGUCUGUUCAUGUGUUUCCGAUUCGAACUUCGGUUUGAGUUAGUGCAUGUGUUCGGGCAAAGCGCCUCGGAGUAUGUAUCUUCUCAGAGGGAUUGACGGCUAAAAAGUCGUAAGAAACAGAGAGCAAUAACAGGUCUGUGAUGCCCUUAGAUGUUCUGGGCUGCACGCGUGUUACAAUGCCGGUGUCAACGGGUUCUUACACUUUUCAGUGGCCUACUCCGAAAGGAGCGGGUAAACCUUUGAAACACCUCCAGCAUCUGUCUCACGACAGUGCUAAUUCGGCAUGCUUGGGACUGGGGAUUGCAAUUAUUCCCCACUAACUAGGAAUGCCUUGUAGUAGUGGGUCACAUAGCCCGCUGCGAAUCUGUCCAUGCCCUUUGUACACACCGCCCGUCGCUACUACCGAUUGAGUGUACCAGUGAGAUUUUUGGACUGGCGAAACGCUGCUUCGGCAGCGGCGAACGACAAGAAGAGACUCGAACUGGUGCACUUAGAGGAAGUAAAAGUCGUAACAAGGUUUCCGUAGGUGAACCUGCGGAAGGAUCAUUA
rnacentral:rRNA from 1 species